rnacentral:rRNA from 1 species
CCCUUAGAUGUUCUGGGCCGCACGCGCGCUACACUGACGAAUGCAACGAGCUUAUAACCUUGGCCGAAAGGUCUGGGUAAUCUCCAAAUUUCGUCGUGAUGGGGAUAGAUUAUUGCAAUUAUUAAUCUUCAACGAGGAGUGCCUAGUAAGCGCAAGUCAUCAGCUUGCGUUGAUUACGUCCCUGCCCUUUGUACACACCGCCCGUCGCUCCUACCGAUUGAAUGGUCCGGUGAAGCGUUCGGACCGUGGCCUUUGGACGGUUCGCCGUCUGUUGGCUGCGGGAAGUUCGUUAAACCUUNUNAUUUAUNGGAAGGAGAANUCGUANCA